UACGAAGGACCCGAGCGUUAUCCGGAUUUAUUGGGUUUAAAGGGUGCGUAGGCGGAUUUAUAAGUCAGUGGUGAAAUCUCCCCGCUCAACGGGGAAACUGCCAUUGAAACUAUUUAUCUUGAGUACGUUUGAGGCGGGCGGAAUGUGUCAUGUAGAGGUGAAAUUCUUAGAUAUGACACAGAACACCAAUUGCGAAGGCAGCUCGCUAAACUGUAACUGACGCUGAGGCACGAAAGCGUGGGGAUCAAACAGG
rnacentral:rRNA from 1 species